rnacentral:rRNA from 1 species
CACGUAGGGCGCAAGCGUUGUCCGGAAUUAUUGGGCGUAAAGGGCUCGUAGGCGGCCAACUAAGUCAGACGUGAAAUCCCUCGGCUUAACCGGGGAACUGCGUCUGAUACUGGAUGGCUAGAGUUUGGGAGAGGGAUGCGGAAUUCCAGGUGUAGCGGUGAAAUGCGUAGAUAUCUGGAGGAACACCGGUGGCGAAGGCGGCAUCCUGGACCAACACUGACGCUGAGGAGCGAAAGCCAGGGGAGCAAACGGG